CCAGCACCUGUCCAGUGAAACAACUUGAUAAGCGUUUCGAGGAGCGUCCGCCGGGUUAGGAGGCCACUGCCUGGCAGCUCGUGGAAGCCUCAUUUGCAACGCCCCACCUCAGAUGUUUUGAAGAUCGUGACGUCUUGUAACUAGCAUUGUGUGCACAGAAUCCUACUCAAGGAACGUCUUGGCCCAGCGAUGCAAAGAACUGAAAUUUCAAGCUGGAAGAGCCUGUAUUGUCCUCACAAUAGUAUAGAAGAAUUCAAGAGAGGAGAGAGAGACAGCACCGAAUGAAGACUGUAAAAGAAAAGAAGGGACGCCAAAGAUUGAGAAAAUCUGCCAAGACUAGGAGGGUAACCCAGAGGAAACCGUCUUCAGGGCCUGUUUGCUGGCUAUGCCUUCGAGAACCUGGGGAUCCCGAAAAAUUAGGGGAAUUUCUUCAGAAAGACAAUAUCAGCGUGCAUUAUUUCUGUCUUGCUGGGCGCAGUGGCUCACGCCUGUAAUCCCAGCACUUUGGGAGGCUGAGGCAGGAGGAUCUCUUGAACCCAGGAGUUCGAGACCAGCCUGGGCAACCUUGUCUCUACA
rnacentral:sRNA from 1 species